CCCUUAGAUGUUCUGGGCCGCACGCGCGCUACACUGAUGCAUUCAACGAGUCUAAAACCUGCUCUGAUAGAGGUGGGUAAUCUUUUGAAUGUGCAUCGUGAUUGGGAUAGAUGAUUGCAAUUUUUCAUCUUCAACGAGGAAUGCCUAGUAAACGCAAGUCAUCAGCUUGCAUUGAUUACGUCCCUGCCCUUUGUACACACCGCCCGUCGCUCCUACCGAUUGAAUGAUCCGAUGAAUAUCAUGGAUUGAGGAUGCAAGUAGGUUCGCCUAUCUUCAUCUUCGAGAAGUGAAGUAAAUCUUAUCAUUUAGAGGAAGGAGAAGUCGUAACA
rnacentral:rRNA from 1 species